UGGCAAUUGACCUCUAAAUUGCAUGAAUCAUCAGUUGAUCAACAUGUUUGGAGCAUAAUAGCAUGUUUGCACAUGGAUUAGUGAAAAAAGUAACAGAAUCCAGCACUCUGGAGUACUCCUCUUACAUCCUUAUCCUCUGGUGAAACAAAUCGAAGACUUAGCCUUGCAUCACCAAUUUCUUUGAUGACAUCUGGAGGCACAAUAGAUCAAACAGAUAGAAAAAAAAAAUCAGCUCGUAGUUUAACAGAAACAAAAGUUAAAUCAUUCAGUGCGGCAACAACAAAAGUUGUAUAAAUUCAAUCCAACCCCCUAUAAAAAAAACUCAGCUCUCUUAUUGUGCCUUUCUGGAUGAAGGUAGAACAACCAGACAUUGUUCUCUUGCUUUCGCUUUGCCUGGUCUAGCCACUGGAAUGAAGCUUUUCUUGUGUCUACUUGCUGCGUCUGAAACAAACGUGCCCCAUUACAGUUAAUUGCAAAAGGAAAACAACUCAAAUCAUACAGGAUGAAUUCAGUCCUCUCACCUUCAUGUUGAGGAUGAGCUUGACAAAAUUC
rnacentral:lncRNA from 1 species